AUUGAACGCUGGCGGCAUGCCUUACACAUGCAAGUCGAACGGCAGCACGGGUGCUUGCACCUGGUGGCGAGUGGCGAACGGGUGAGUAAUAUAUCGGAACGUACCUUUUUGUGGGGGAUAACGCAGCGAAAGCUGUGCUAAUACCGCAUAAUCCCUAAGGGGGAAAGCGGGGGACCGUAAGGCCUCGCGCAAUUAGAGCGGCCGAUACCUGAUUAGCUAGUUGGUGAGGUAAAGGCUCACCAAGGAAACGAUCAGUAGCUGGUCUGAGAGGACGAUCAGCCACACUGGGACUGAGACACGGCCCAGACUCCUACGGGAGGCAGCAGUGGGGAAUUUUGGACAAUGGUGGCAACCCUGAUCCAGCAAUGCCGCGUGAGUGAAGAAGGCCUUCGGGUUGUAAAGCUCUUUUGUCAGGGAAGAAACAGCAGCUCUAACACAGUUUGCGAAUGACGGUACCUGAAGAAUAAGCACCGGCUAACUACGUGCCAGCCGCCGCCGUAA
rnacentral:rRNA from 1 species